CCGGACGGCGCGCCUGGGACGGCCUCUCCAGUCUCCUCCUCGCCCCUGCUCCGCGGCCUGAGCCCUCGUCUGCUACAUCAACUCCUCCUCCAGGUUCAGACAUCUGCCCCUUUUGGGAUGUUCUUCCUGACCUCCCGCCCCAGUUCCCUGCCGCACGUUCCCAAGUCGCCCCCGUCACCGUUCAUCCGAAACGUCUUCCUGGCUGGAGCAAAACGCCCAUGGGGCCAGCGCUACGCUCUGAUCGGCCGCACGAGUCCCCCAGUCUAGGGCCCAGUUCCCCGAGGGCCCCCGACGAAGACCUGCGAACCUCCCCCCGCGCCCCCAGAACACCUCCGCAGAGCCGACCCCGAGGGCACGGGCCUGCGCACGCGCACACGCGCUCUGACGCCGCGAAAACGACUUCAAACGUCCGUUCACGGAACCCAAAUCCACACUAGACUUCAGAUGUCUCUAAGACACGCUAAUUCUUCCCAAAAUGACAAGAAAGAAGGACCGAGAGGCGCCCGAUAGUCACAAUUCUCUAUGUAUACACAGGCAUAUGAAGCACUCGGUGUUCAUGAGGGCUGCGUUGGCCGCCCACUGGGGACGCUGAUUUUGGCCCCACGUGUCUUCGCCCAAGAAGUGCCAUGGCCACCCUGCAGGCUACUUGGCGAGCUAUAGCUGUGGCCAAGUGUGCUGUCGCCUGUGUCUCCAGUGUGUCUCCAUAGGUCUGCAGGCUGCAUCUCUCGUCUGACAUACACUCGACAGAGCAGGCAUGUGUCAUUGAUCCAGGGCACCUCUGCCUGAGGACCCCUUGCUCAAACCUCAGCUCUGUCCUCAUGCCCACGUCAGCAGCAGGAAAGCCUGAUAUGGCAGAAAGAGAGAGAAAGACAUCUGAACAUCAUCUACCCAGGACUCAGCAUGGUCUGUCCGCUUGCCCUGAGUGUGUUAAUUGACUCCAUCUCUCGUCUUCUUAUCACUGUGUGUUAUAACUUUAUUUAGCAAACCCUGUGAUUCAAGCACUUCAGUUUGAGCCUCUCCAUUCUGUGACCCCCCAACAUGGCUCGCCUGGUGUAGUUGCAUUAAGAUUGGGAUCCAAGUGAUGGGGCAUCUGCUUGGUGGAGCCUAGACCCGUGCGACAUGGGAGCCAAGGAAAGACAGGAUCUGACUUCUACAGUGAGAAUCACGGGAAGUGAGGCGAUGAGCUGGGCGGUCAAAAAAGAAGGACAGAUAUUCCCCACAGUCGAUCUGGUCUGCCAUCCUCCUCUCUGCUUGUACGCAGAUGAGGAUAAAUGGAAGUCUCAGUAUGAAUCCUGCCUGUGUCUAGGAGAAAUGAUCCCCAAGCCGAACAGUCAUCUUUUCGUGGGGACCAGGCACAGUUCCUGCUCAUCCCGAAGCAGCAGGCUCCAGUGCCCUGGCAGCCUGCAGAGUUGCUCAAGCCGAUCACAUCCUCCCAUGGGAACCAGGAGGCACCUCACCCUCUUUUCCAGGCAGCGCCCGCUCUCCACCCGGUGCCUGAGUGCACCCGCACAGCCCUGCAUGGCUCGUGGUGUCCUCUUUCCCUGGGCUGUGAGGAAACGUGGCUGUCGGUACCAUCUGUCCAUUGUCGGGUGUCGUGUUCAACCAUCCCCAUAGCCCUCAGGCGUGAGCCCCUCCCUUACCGAAGAGAAGAGGAGGCGAUCCAUACAAGAGCGCAUAUAAAUCAUGAAUCUUUUUAAAGCACCAUUUGGCCAGAAUAAAUCAGAAUUGUUCAUGUGUUUACCCUUUGGCCCAGAUCCAGCAAAUUGCUCUAAGGAAAUAUUUGCACAGAAUCCCAGUGUUAACACGUGUGGAUGCUCACGCAGCAGCCUUUGUUUACGAGGUGAGGCGGGAAGCAGCCUAAGCGUCCGUCAGUAGGGGCCUCAUAAAUAAUUCCAUAUAGUGCGGUGUGGUGAAGUCAUUAAGGUUGAAGUAAUGUAUAUUUUACGAUAGCUGCUCAGACUCUGUCAGCACUGUGAGUUAAUUACACAGCAACAUCCUUAUUCUUCUCCCCUGAUGUUUGUCUGUUCCCAAGCUUGCUCUGCCCCAAUACCUGAUUUUGUUCCCUAAAACUAUGUCCAUGAAAAUGUAUUUUUUCCAUAAAUAAAUGAAAAGAAGAUCAAA
ensembl:lncRNA